rnacentral:rRNA from 1 species
AAUCAACGCUGGCGGCGUGCCUAACACAUGCAAGUCGAACGAGAAAGGGGCUUCGGCUCCGAGUAAAGUGGCGGACGGGUGAGUAACACGUGGGUGAUCUGCCCUCCAGUGGGGGAUAACAUACCGAAAGGUGUGCUAAUACCGCAUGGAGUUCCGGUUGUCGCGAUCGGAACGAAAGCAGCAAUGCGCUGGAGGAGGAGCCCGCGUCGGAUUAGCUAGUUGGUGGGGUAACGGGCCACCAAGGCUACGAUCCGUAGCCGGCCUGAGAGGGUGACCGGCCACACUGGAACUGAGACACGGUCCAGACUCCUACGGGAGGCAGCAGUGGGGAAUUUUGCGCAAUGGGGGAAACCCUGACGCAGCAACGCCGCGUGGACGAUGAAGGCCUUUGGGUCGUAAAGUCCUGUCAGCAGGGAAAAACACAAUGAUGGUACCUGCAGAGGAAGCUCCGGCUAACUUCGUGCCAGCAGCCGCGGUAAGAC